rnacentral:lncRNA from 1 species
UUAGGUCAGCAAGUAGUGCUAAAAUCAUUUUGCAAGAAGAGAAGGCAGCGAGAAGAUGUUCCAGGUGACACGCCCUUCCAUCAAAACAAAACGUUCAAACAUAGCAAGAAGUCAGCAGAAAAAGAUGUGAACAUAGUAUGAUGUCUUGUUUUUGUUAUUUCUACUCGAUGUCUCCAUUUCCUUUUUUCUCUUAAGUUUCCUUAUAGGGAAGGUUCUUGUAAUUACUAGUUGUUUGAUUGUGUGAUGCAGCCGCUUACUUGAUGUCAUUGUCAUUGUUCCUGUAGUUGCAUGUACGAAAGUGUGUGCUUGGUUUGGUUCCAUUUAUCUCUCUCUCUCAUGCCUACCCGUUUGACCUUAUAGGAAUUGAGGCUAUUCCAAGGAACAAGACCGGUAACAGCUAGUGCAAAGGAGACUAUGUCGAGAGGUGGCGCUGCUAGACUUGUUGAUGUGUAGUUAUGGCAUAAAAAGCUGAAAAUUAUUGUAUAUUGUAUAAUUUCAUAAGCUGUACGUAGCAAAUCUGUCCAUGUGGAUCAGUACAACUUAUGUACAACCUUAAAUUCACAAAUCUUAUAGUCAUCUUUGUAGUACUCUUCGUAACACUUUGUAAAGGAAGAGUGGCCCAUUUUCUAUAAGCA